rnacentral:lncRNA from 1 species
GUGCUAUAUUCCACAGGUACAGUAAGAGUCAUUGUUCCAGUUUGGGAGAAAAAAAAAUCAUAAUAAAAUGCAAGGACAUGCUGAGAGCUAUAUAUGGAAGCAAUAGGAGAUGAAUAUAGAGCAUUCUGACCAUUUGAAAACCAGCAUCUAUAACAAGGAGGGGUUAAGCAGGGAAUAGGGAGGGGGAGGCAGCAGGAUUUCUCAUUACAAAAUUACAUUAAUGUCAUUUCACAAAGUUUUCAUUCUCAUUUAGAACUAAAUUUAAAUUAUAAUAACAAUAAAAUUAUUUUGAACCCCUAAAGUAAAUUAAGAUUUUCUACCAUGAUAAUCACAAUGGCAACCUCAAUCAAUGGCAGAAACCAUCUACAAGUCCUUACAUGGGAAGGAGGAAGUAAGAAAAGAAGCAUUUAUAUAGCCUACUAUGUGUCAGAUACUUACUAUGUGCUAAGUGCUUUACAAAUUUUAUCUCGUUUGAUCCGAACAAUCAUCCUGCAAAGUAGGUGUUAUUAUGAUUUCCAUUUUACAACUGAAGAAACUGAGACAGAGAUUAAGUUACUUGCUAAGAUUACAUUGUAAGUAUUGAAAGUCGUAUUUGAACUUAGAUUUUUCCGGUGGGGGAGAGAUAAUAGGAGGAAGAGGAGAGGGUGUUUUCUACUUUACCUUCUAUAUCACCACUUAGAAGUCUUAAUAAUUCUCAGUAAGCAGAAUUUAUGUUGCUUGAUGACCACUGAUAGAUGUUCACAUUGUUAUCUUGUUCAAGUCAGAACACAACACUGAUAUUGGGUGAUUCAAUAUGAAAUAUCUCCGCUAUAAUUCCUCAACCUGGAGUAGACUAUCACAAACAUGGUAUCCAAAAAAGCAUCUCUCCCACAUCAGUGAAAAAUUGAGUUGUCUUUUUUUUCUGUACUGAAAAAAUAAAAGAGCAAUGAAGAGCACUAGCUAAUGUCCACAGCAGGGAAGAACAAAUGUAACAAAUCCAGUAAUUGGGGCUCUUAUUUUAUAUUUCUGUUGGGUAUUCACUGGUUUAUUCUAAGAAGCAUGCCCUAGUUUUAUUGGAGCUAUGGAUAGCUUUUGCUAAAUGCUAAUGUGUUUGAAUUUUAGCAGGAUAUUUGGAUUUCAAACUUCAUUUUAUGGCAGAAAACUAGACUUAGUUGAAACUUUUUGAUACCACUUGCAUUUAAGGAAGACAUUCAAUCCAAUCUCUUUAUUUUACAAGAAGGAAAGUGAGGCUAAAAGAGAUUCAGUAGCUUGCAGAUGGUCAGACUAGUAGUAAGGGGUAGAAUUAGGUCUUCUAACUCCAAAGGCAGGGUUCUUUCCAUGCACCACGAAAAUUUUAAGACAUUUCUCAUUAAGUUAACAGGAUAUUAAUUAAGUUGAUUUGUAAUUGUUACCCCGGUACUGAAAAUAG